GAACGCGUCUCCGUUGAUGAUUUCAGGUGCUUGCACCUGAAAGAUUUAACAUUGAGACGAGUGGCGAACUGGUGAGUAACACGUGGGUAACCUGCCCUUGAAGUAGGGGAUAACACUUGGAAACAGGUGCUAAUACCGUAUAACAACCAAAACCACCUGGUUUUGGUUUAAAAGACGGCUUCGGCUGUCACUUUAGGAUGGACCCGCGGCGUAUUAGCUUGUUGGUAAGGUAACGGCUUACCAAGGCGAUGAUACGUAGCCGACCUGAGAGGGUAAUCGGCCACAUUGGGACUGAGACACGGCCCAAACUCCUACGGGAGGCAGCAGUAGGGAAUCUUCCACAAUGGACGAAAGUCUGAUGGAGCAACGCCGCGUGAGUGAUGAAGGGUUUCGGCUCGUAAAACUCUGUUGUUGGAGAAGAACAGGUGUCAGAGUAACUGUUGACAUCUUGACGGUAUCCAACCAGAAAGCCACGGCUAACUACGUGCCAGCAGCCGCGGUAAUACGUAGGUGGCAAGCGUUGUCCGGAUUUAUUGGGCGUAAAGCGAGCGCAGGCGGUUUUUUAGGUCUGAUGUGAAAGCCUUCGGCUUAACCGGAGAAGUGCAUCGGAAACCGGGAGACUUGAGUGCAGAAGAGGACAGUGGAACUCCAUGUGUAGCGGUGAAAUGCGUAGAUAUAUGGAAGAACACCAGUGGCGAAGGCGGCUGUCUGGUCUGUAACUGACGCUGAGGCUCGAAAGCAUGGGUAGCGAACAGGAUUAGAUACCCUGGUAGUCCAUGCCGUAAACG
rnacentral:rRNA from 1 species